rnacentral:rRNA from 1 species
CGGCGUGCCUAAUACAUGCAAGUCGAGCGGUAAGGCUCCUGCAGUUUAUUUGAUUACGAUUGCGCUCGCAGAGUAACCAGUUUACUGGUAUACGAAGCGAAGGCAAUCACAACAGACCCAAUCAACCCCGGCUAGGGAAGAAACGGCGAGGGAAAAUCGAAUGAAGUGCUGGAGUACACGAGCGGCGGACGGCUGAGUAACGCGUAGGAACGUACCCCAAACUGAGGGAUAAGCACCAGAAAUGGUGUCUAAUACCGCAUGUGCUCUAAGGAGUAAAGCUUCGGCGGUUUGGGAACGGCCUGCGUACGAUUAGAUUGUUGGUGAGGUAAUGGCUCACCAAGUCGACGAUCGUUAGCUGGUCUGAGAGGAUGAUCAGCCAGACUGGGACUGAGAACGGCCCAGACUCCUACGGGAGGCAGCAGUAGGGAAUUUUCCACAAUGGACGAAAGUCUGAUGGAGCAACGCCGCGUGCAGGAUGAAUGCCUUAGGGUUGUAAACUGCUUUUAUCUGUGACGAAUAUGACGGUAGCAGAUGAAUAAG